rnacentral:rRNA from 1 species
AACGAACGCUGGCGGCAGGCCUAACACAUGCAAGUCGAGCGAGCAUUUCGGUGCUAGCGGCGGACGGGUGAGUAACGCGUGGGAACGUGCCCUUUUCUGCGGAAUAGUCCUGGGAAACUGGGGGUAAUACCGCAUACGCUCCUUUGGGGAAAGAUUCAACGGAGAAGGAUCGGCCCGCGUUGGAUUGGGUGGUUGGUGGGGUAAUGGCCCACCAAGCGGUCGAUCCUUAGCUGGUUUGAGAGGAUGAUCAGCCACACUGGGACUGGGACACGGCCCAGACUCCUACGGGAGGCAGCAGUGGGGAAUCUUAGACAAUGGGGGCAACCCUGAUCGAGCCAUGCCGCGUGAGUGAUGAAGGCCUUAGGGUUGUAAAGCUCUUUCAGCUGGGAAGAUAAUGACGGUACCAGCAGAAGAAGCCCCGGCUAACUCCGUG